GGGGUUGUGGCUCAGAGGUAGAGCACUCACCUAGCAUGUGCAAGGCCCUGGGUUCGAUCCUCAGCACCACA
rnacentral:tRNA from 1 species